UUUUGUUUUCAGAUUUCCACUUUUUAAAAAAUCUCUCUUUGCUUUCUACAUUCAAUUUUGUCUUGGGAACAAGAUAUUAAAAGCUGAGAGACCACAAAAGAGUGGCCCCAGCAAUCUGGCUUCCAGUGAACCUGUCCAAAGAGUGGAGGAGUCCAUGGGACAUGGAGAUGAAGAAUCUUCUGAAUGAGAUCCCACACCAGACAAGGUGUGCAGUUAGCCUCAUCAUCACUGGAAUUAUUGUCCUGGUAGCUGCCAUCGCCACCACAGCCACUGCAGCUGCUUCACUCACUCAGAGUAUCCAGACCGCUCAGACUGUACCAUCGUCUGAAUGUUUGUGUUCCCACAAAAUUCAUUAGUUAAAAUUUAACCACUACUGUGAUAAUAUAUGGAGGUGAUAACAUUGGGAGGCAAUUAUGUCAUAAGAGUGGAGCCCUUAUGAACAGGAUUUUUUGUACCUUUACAAAAGAAGUCUUUGUGAGCUGCUUUGACCCUUCAACCAUGAGGACACAGCAAGAAGAUAACAACUCUGAAACAAAAAGGGAGCCUUUACCAGACAUUGAAUCUGAAUGCCUGGAUCUUGGACUUAUAGCCUCUACAACUAUAAGAAAUAAAAGUAUUUUUAUAAAUAAAAGUAAAAGUAAAAGUAUUUUGUUAUAGUAGACCAAACAAACUAAGACAGAAUCAACAUCUUUCCUGGUACGCAUUCCCUUGUUUUCAGGAUAUUGUUGAAGUAAAUACCCAUCCAUGGGUGAUUGUCUGGUAACAUUUAAGCCAAGGACAGUAUGGUUAGUAUUUUUUUUAACAUUCACAUGUAGAGAGCUCAUAAAUUUCUUUAACUAUUAAGCUAUAAUCCUUAGUCGGCCUAUCAAUAUAGAUACUUUUAAAUUCAUUUUUCAUAACCAUCAUUGUAGUCACAGUUCAUCUAAUUAUUUAUUA